AGACUGUACAUCUACAUAAGCGUUAUCGGCUAAGGUCAGUCUGUUUAUAAAUUUGCAAAUGACGCAAGAAGGACGACUAGAGCGGAAGUUACCCGUGGUACGACGCUUUGUAGAAAGUCGUAUGUCAUCAGAAUUCUGAAAAACAUAAACAAAGUUGUGUACCGCUUUUCAGUGUUCUUUUCAUGUUUUUAGAUACAACAUCUUUUUUUUAAAAAUGUCGAAGCGCAGAUAAGUUAUCUUUCUUAUCGCAUUUUAAGCUUACAUCAGUUACAAACAUGGAGGAUGCUUCAUGUGGAACCGAAUCAAUGGCGUUAUAAACCACUUCGCGUGGCAAGGCAAUGCCCUCUGCAACCCUUCCUGGCUACGACGGGCCUGCAGGCAGGCAGCUCAGUGAUCAACCCACAGCCACACCCUACUUCAAGCGAGUGGAGCUGUUCUGGAUUACGAAUCAAAAUUUUGAAACUGUUAAAGUUUCUUAACAGAACAGUGGGAAAGUUAAAAUGGCGUUGCUACAAGUAAUGGAAUUUUGCAAAAUAGCUACGUUUCAAAUUUUAAUUGACGAUUUAAGCACUGGAAAAUUUUUGUCAUCGUUUAUUAAGCGAUGCUGUAGAUACUAGUGACGUUGAAAUAAACCUAAAAAUAUUUACAUCCGA